rnacentral:rRNA from 1 species
AGCGAACGCUGGCGGCAGGCCUAACACAUGCAAGUCGAACGAAGUCUUCGGACUUAGUGGCGGACGGGUGAGUAACACGUGGGAACGUACCUUUUGGUUCGGAACAACUCAGGGAAACUUGAGCUAAUACCGGAUGAGCCCUUAGGGGGAAAGAUUUAUCGCCGAAAGAGCGGCCUGCGUUAGAUUAGCUAGUUGGUGAGGUAAAGGCUCACCAAGGCUACGAUCUAUAGCUGGUCUGAGAGGAUGAUCAGCCACACUGGGAAUGAGACACGGCACACAGUCCUACGGGAGGCAGAAGUGGGGAAUCUUGCGCAAUGCGCGAAAGCCUAACGCAUCCAUGCCGCGUGAAUGAUGAAGGUCUUAGGAUUGUAAAAUUCUUUUACCAGGGACGAUAAUGACGGUACCUGGAGAAAAAGCCCCGGCUAACUUCGUGCCAGCCGCCGCCGUAAGAC